rnacentral:rRNA from 1 species
CCUACGGGUGGCAGCAGUGGGGAAUAUUGCACAAUGGGGGAAACCCUGAUGCAGCGACGCAGCGGGAGUGAAGAAGGAGUUCGGUAGGGAAAGCUCGAUCAGCAGGGAAGAAAAUGACGGUACCUGAUGAAGAAGCCCCGGCUAACUACGGGCCAGCAGCCGCGGGAAUACGUAGGGGGCAAGAGUUAUCCCGAUUGACUGGGUGUAAAGGGAGCGUAGACGGCAGCACAAGUCUGGAGUGAAAUGCCGGGGCUUAACCCCGGAACUGCUUUGGAAAAUGUGCAGCUAGAGUGCAGGAGAGGUAAGUGGAAUUCCUAGUGUAGCGGUGAAAUGCGUAGAUAUUAGGAGGAACACCAGUGGCGAAGGCGGCUUACUGGACUGUACCUGACGUUGCGGCUCGAACGCGUGGGGAGCAAACAGGAUUAGAUACCCUAGUAGUC